rnacentral:rRNA from 1 species
GGGGAUGACGUCAAGUCCUCAUGGCCUUUAUGACCAGGGCUACACACGUACUACAAUGGCCGAUACAAAGGGCAGCGACACUGCGAGGUGAAGCCAAUACCCGUAAAAUCGGUCUCAGUCCGGAUUGGAGUCUGCAACUCGACUCCAUGAAGUUGGAAUCGCUAGUAAUCGUGGAUCCAGCAUGCCACGGUGAAUUACGUUCCCGGCCUU